CUGCUUCAUUAAAUUAAUAUGUAGUUUUUAGAUCAUAGUAAUUAAACUGCAUUAUAUUUUUUAUACCAAGAAGUGUUCUCUUAAAAGGGAGAGGUAUUGUCAGUGGCAAAUUUGAGGAAUCUGAUGCAUUGGUGGAAUACUGCAUGUGGUCAUGAAAUUAUACCUUCAAUGCUGCAAUCCUCAAGGUCUGAAAAUUGUACCAACCUCUGCUAAUCAACAGGGAUCAAAAGACAUGUUUAAGUAACACUACUAGUUUUGUAAAGAAAAUGAAACACUCUUGAUGACAUAUACUCGAUUUGUUGAAAUAGUUCAUGAACUGAGACAUUGUUGAAAUAGUUGAACUUAAGCAUUUUUGGGGAACAUUUUCAAAAAUGUACUUGUUUUUAAAAUGUAAAUUUAUAUUUGACUCAUAAUUUUCUCAGAACCAAUCCAAUAUCCACUACAUUAAUUUAAACAUAUUUUCAGAGGUCAAGUAACUACCAAUGAUUUGAGCUCUAGGUUUGGAAAUAGAAAUCACAAAAUGUUAACGAAAAUUGUAAUAAAUUUUAUAUAUUUACAUAAUACAUACUGUAAUUUAGUAUUUAUGACAAAAAGUAUUUAAUAUAAUCAUUGAAAAUUGUAUUGAAUUAAACUAAAUUACAUUAAUAAGGAGGCAUUCAUUAUUGAUGGGGGGGGGAGGAUGGGUGAGAAACUGGGGGGACCUGAGAUUUUCCCAGAUGAAAAGGGGGACUGCAAUUCUGAUAAACCAAAUCCUGGGGGGACCUAACAUUGAAGGAAGACACAUUUACAAAUUUCAAAAAUCAUGAUGAGGGUGAAAACAAAAAGAAAUCAGAUUUACAUAAACUUCAUCUUUGGAUUUAUUUAUGAAGUUAUCAAAUACAUCAUUUCUGAAGUUAUAUAUCCAAAACACUCACAGUACAUGUUUCAUCAGAUCUAUUAAAACACUUGGGUAUUGCCUCAUGUUAUAAAUCUGAUAAAAGGUUGUUGUUGGUGCUUUGAAUAUAUUUUAAUACAAUAUAAUAACUAACUUUCUUUUCUGCUCUCUCAGUCCCUGCUGUACAAUUGUACAAACAUGUACAUACUACAUUUAGACACAAGACGUACAUUUAAAUUUAAUGUAGUGUGAAUUAAAAAAUUAAAUGUCACUGUGUGUAGUACUCUUUAUUGUCAAUAAAAGAGUUGCACCAUAAUUAUACUUGACUACAGUAAUUGGUGAGUGACUAAUUAUUAUCAUAACUUCAAAUUGUUCUUCUCCAUUUUGGCAUCCUGUGCCAUCUCUUCUGGUACCUGUAUUAA